rnacentral:rRNA from 1 species
UACGGGGGGGGCAGGCGUUGUUCGGAAUUACUGGGCGUAAAGGGCUCGUAGGUGGCCAACUAAGUCAGACGUGAAAUCCCCAGGCUCAACUUGGGAACUGCGUCUGAUACUGGAUGGCUUGAAUUCGGGAGAGGGAUGCAGAAUUCCAGGUGUAGCGGUGAAAUGCGUAGAUAUCGGAAGGAACAUCAGUGGCGAAAGCGACUUCCUGGACCAAUACUGACGCUCAUGUGCGAAAGCGUGGGGAGCAAACAGG